CAGGCCUAACACAUGCAAGUCGAGCGGGGAAGGGUAGCUUGCUACCUAACCUAGCGGCGGACGGGUGAGUAAUGCUUAGGAAUCUGCCUAUUAGUGGGGGACAACAUUCCGAAAGGAAUGCUAAUACCGCAUACGCCCUACGGGGGAAAGCAGGGGAUCUUCGGACCUUGCGCUAAUAGAUGAGCCUAAGUCAGAUUAGCUAGUUGGUGGGGUAAAGGCCUACCAAGGCGACGAUCUGUAGCGGGUCUGAGAGGAUGAUCCGCCACACUGGGACUGAGACACGGCCCAGACUCCUACGGGAGGCGGCAGUGGGGAAUAUUGGACAAUGGGCGAAAGCCUGAUCCAGCCAUGCCGCGUGUGUGAAGAAGGCCUUUUGGUUGUAAAGCACUUUAAGCGAGGAGGAGGCUACUUGGAUUAAUACUCUAGGAUAGUGGACGUUACUCGCAGAAUAAGCACCGGCUAACUCUGUGCCAGCAGCCGCG
rnacentral:rRNA from 1 species